rnacentral:rRNA from 1 species
GGGAGUGGCAGACGGGUGAGUAACGCGUGGGAACAUACCCUUUCCUGCGGAAUAGCUCCGGGAAACUGGAAUUAAUACCGCAUACGCCCUACGGGGGAAAGAUUUAUCGGGGAAGGAUUGGCCCGCGUUGGAUUAGCUAGUUGGUGGGGUAAAGGCCUACCAAGGCGACGAUCCAUAGCUGGUCUGAGAGGAUGAUCAGCCACAUUGGGACUGAGACACGGCCCAAACUCCUACGGGAGGCAGCAGUGGGGAAUAUUGGACAAUGGGCGCAAGCCUGAUCCAGCCAUGCCGCGUGAGUGAUGAAGGCCUUAGGGUUGUAAAGCUCUUUCACCGAUGAAGAUAAUGACGGUAGUCGGAGAAGAAGCCCCGGCUAACUUCGUGCCAGCAGCCGCGGUAAUACGAAGGGGGCUAGCGUUGUUCGGAAUUACUGGGCGUAAAGCGCACGUAGGCGGAUAUUUAAGUCAGGGGUGAAAUCCCGCAGCUCAACUGCGGAACUGCCUUUGAUACUGGGUAUCUUGAGUAUGGAAGAGGUAAGUGGAAUUCCGAGUGUAGAGGUGAAAUUCGUAGAUAUUCGGAGGAACACCAGUGGCGAAGGCGGCUU